GACGAACGCUGGCGGCGUGCUUAACACAUGCAAGUCGAACGAUGAUGCUGGAGCUUGCUCCAGUUGAUUAGUGGCGAACGGGUGAGUAACACGUGAGCAAUCUGCCCUUGACUCUGGGAUAACUGCGGGAAACUGUAGCUAAUACCGGAUACUUUCACCGGGGGGCAUCCUCUGGUGAUGAAAGAAUUUCGGUCAAGGAUGAGCUCGCGGCCUAUCAGCUUGUUGGUGAGGUAACGGCUCACCAAGGCGACGACGGGUAACCGGCCUGAGAGGGUGACCGGUCACACUGGGACUGGGACACGGCCCAGACUCCUACGGGAGGCAGCAGUGGGGAAUAUUGCACAAUGGGCGCAAGACUGAUGCAGCGACGCCGCGUGAGGGAUGAAGGCCUUCGGGUUGUAAACCUCUUUUAGCAGGGAAGAAGAGAAAGUGACGGUACCUGCAGAAAAAGCACCGGCUAACUACGUGCCAGCCGCCGCAGUAA
rnacentral:rRNA from 1 species